UACGUAGGGUGCAAGCGUUGUCCGGAAUCAUUGGGCGUAAAGCGCGCGUAGGUGGCUUGUAAGUCCGUUGUGAAAGUCAAAGGCUCAACCUUUGAAUGCCGAUGGAUACUGCGGAGCUAGAGUACGGAAGAGGCGAGUGGAAUUCCUGGUGUAGCGGUGGAAUGCGCAGAUAUCAGGAGGAACACCAAUAGCGAAGGCAGCUCGCUGGGACGUUACUGACACUAAGGCGCGAAAGCGUGGGGAGCGAACAGG
rnacentral:rRNA from 1 species